AGGGGCGCUGGGGGCCAUCCCCGGCUGAGAUCAGGGCAAAUUGCAGCCCUGGGUCACCUUGAACCUGAUCCGGGUAAUGCCGGCGUAGGGAGUUUGAGGAAU
rnacentral:ncRNA from 1 species